UACGUAGGGGGCAAGCGUUGUCCGGAGUUACUGGGCGUAAAGCGCACGCAGGCGGUCGAUUAAGUUUGGAGUGACAGUUGGUGGCUUAACUGCCAAAGUGCUUUGAAAACUGAUCGACUUGAGGGCUUCAGAGGGACACGGAAUUCCGGGUGGAGUGGUGAAAUGCGUAGAGUUCCGGAGGAACACCGAAGGCGAAGGCAGUGUCCUGGGGAGUACCUGACGCUCAGGUGCGAAAGCCAGGGGAGCGAACGGG
rnacentral:rRNA from 1 species